rnacentral:lncRNA from 1 species
GGAAUGGAAGAGGGAUAGGUCGGUCAAUCAACGGAGAAGGUGCGGCAGCGGUGGUGGUGGAAGAGGGAGAAGGUCCACCUGAAGAAGAACCAUCGGCUGGAGAAGAAGAUCCACCCACCUCACAUGCCCUGCGUGGACCGUCAUGGUCAUCCUCUCUAGGACAAGUGGCAGGCACGGGUGUAGGUGUAGAAACGGGCUCAGGAGGCACAACAGUCUGCUUCCCUGACCUGAGGGUGAUGGCACUCACGUUCCUAGGAUUCUGCACAGUUUGGGAGGGUAGUUUAUCAGAAUUUUGAGACUGUGCCUAGUUCAACUGAGUAGCCAUCUGACCCACUUGGUUAGUGAGACUUUGUAUAGAAGCUCUCGUCUCCUGCUGAAAUUGCAUAUUAUCUUUCUGAAACUGCAGGUUUUGCAUAGUCAUCUGUCUCACUAACUCUUCCAAUGUAGGCUCAGAAGAAGUGGAAGGUUGGGCAGCUGGUUGGACAGGUGCUUCUUGUUGCUGCUGUUGCUG